GACGAACGCUGGCGGCGUGCUUAACACAUGCAAGUCGAACGGAAAGGCCUCUUUCGGGGGGUACUCGAGUGGCGAACGGGUGAGUAACACGUGAGUAACCUGCCCUUGACUUUGGGAUAACUUCAGGAAACUGGGGCUAAUACCGGAUAGGAGCCCCUGCUGCAUGGUGGGGGUUGGAAAGUUUCGGCGGUUGGGGAUGGACUCGCGGCUUAUCAGCUUGUUGGUGGGGUAGUGGCUUACCAAGGCUUUGACGGGUAGCCGGCCUGAGAGGGUGACCGGCCACAUUGGGACUGAGAUACGGCCCAGACUCCUACGGGAGGCAGCAGUGGGGAAUAUUGCACAAUGGGUGGAAGCCUGAUGCAGCAACGCCGUGUGCGGGAUGACGGCCUUCGGGUUGUAAACCGCUUUCGCUCAUGACGAAGCUUUGUGUGACGGUAGUGGGUAAAGAAGCACCGGCUAACUACGUG
rnacentral:rRNA from 1 species